rnacentral:tRNA from 1 species
CAAAAUAUAGCUUAGACUAAAGCACCUCGCUUACACCGAGGACACACCCGGCAAACUCGGGUUAUUUUGA